UUUUCUUUUAUUUAACAUAUUUUAUGUUGCUUUUCUCGAACCGCAUUUUUUCCCCGUUGAUAACUUCUACAUUUUCCCUUUAUUACUGAUAAUAGUCAAUUUCUAAACUGGUUGUUUUAGAGAUUUAGGAUUGAAAGAGACGAGUAACGAAUACGUUGACAUAGAUUACAUUCAAUUAACAUAUUUCAGAUUUACGAGAUUCAAAUACAGAUACAUGCAUAACCAAAGUGGAGGCAGAUACUUUUGCCAGUGAUCACAGAAUGCCAUAUUGUGAAACUAGUGCACUUACUCAGAAAGGAUUGAAGUCCUGCUUUGAUAAAGCUGUAAGUUAUCGAUUACAAAGUUGAAGGGCAUACGAUACAGUUACAGGGGAGGCAAUGACGUUGCUAACGUAAAAUGUUAUUUUUGCGACGUCAAACUGUGACAUAUCGGAUAAAGAUGCAUUUUUCGACUGUUUUUUAUGAUUUAAAAUGAUUUAACUUGAAAACGAGUACAUGAACCCCUCUUUUUUAAAAAUUGCAUUAGGUUUGAUUACGUAUGAAAAUUAUUUGAACCAAUUUUUACGAAAAAGUAAACAUUGAAUUUUUUUUAAAUUUGAUAAAAAUAACACAAAAAAUGCCGUUUUUUCCCUUAAUUCCUGAAACUUUGUUAAAAAUUAGUUAUUUCCAAAGAAAUGUUGUACAUGUUAAGAGCAUAUUUAUGUGAAGAAGAUUUUCAUAAUGUUUCGACAAAAAUCUGCUUGUGUUUAUUUGUUGAAAUAAAAAAGUAAGGUGUGUCUAUCCAAAGGAUAGAAAUGUCCAAAAAAACGAAAUUUUUUAGUAAAAGUCUCAAAUGUCGACCCCUUUUAUUUCUUAAAGUAGCACAUGAAGGUAUUUUUUAUUACAUAUUUGAAAUGGUUAGGUGAACAAAAGCUUGUAUGCAAAUUUUCGCUAAACAAUCAUCAUGGGAUUGAAACUGUAUCGUAUACCCUUUAACUCAUGUUUUGACCGAAAAUGGAAAUGACGCGAGAAUACCGGAAACUAUAACCCUGUCUAAACAUCCGGCCUCGCUCCUUUUGGAGAUCAUGCGAUUCCUCUAGAUUUUGUUAUUUUACCUUGAUUUGUAUCAUUUGGAAGGAUUUAUGAGAUUUGAAGAUAGGUAAAAAACCUAUUGUAUGAAUAUUGAACAGCGGUAUAUAUACUACUUUUACCUUUAUCAAGUACUGAAAUACACAACACUGUAUCACUAAAGUAUGUUAGAGUGUCUGGAUUGGUUGUCUUUCAUUCCUGUAUUAUUAAUCUUUUGGGUGUCUUUUCUCUAUUAUUAGUUAUACAUUUAUAUUUGUUUUACUAAUAUUUCCUAUUAUUUAUAUUUUUGCACUUCAUUUGUUCUCUAUUCUUAAUAUUUUAACACGGUAUUUCUCCAUUCUUCAUAAUUUGAUUCCACUUUAUCCUUUUUUAAUUAUUUUGUUCUAUUUCUUGUACAUUUGAUCAAUUAUUCUCUAUGUUGUAAACCCAAUCCCAUCCCUUACGUUAAUAUGAUAAUGUAAAUAUGAACAACAUGACAAUAAAAGUUCCUACUAACACUCUAUCAUGAAACAUGUUAGAUAGGCUAUGCUUUGCUUCGAUUUUACAACGGAACUUCCCAGAUGUAGCAUCUGUUAUUUAUUUGCUCGCAUGGGCAUAAUUACAUGCAAAAACCAAAAUUAAAUUUAAUUCUGGAUUACCGAAAAAGUGAGAAAGAUAUCUAAGGACCGUUAAAAAUAUAAGUAAAAAAAAACCAAACAAACAACAAGUAUUAGCGUUGCUGAAAAUUAAAACGAGAAAAAUACAGUCAACAAUAACAAAACAUUUCAUAAACAACAACAAACUGAGCAACACGAACUAAAUCUUUAACCUUGGGCGAACAACGAUGCUAUGGAAGGGUAGUUCCUGCUCCACAUAUGGUACGAUGUUAUUGUAGUUGCGUGUUUGCCUUGGGUGCAUGAGGUCCCGUGUUCUAAACUCGCCGGGUCAAUCAAACGACUGUACUGCUCCUCUACUAAGCACGCAACAUGAAUGAAAAAGACAAAAAAGAUUGUUCAAUUCGGAGUCAAAAUACAGUGUCCGUGUAGGGUUCUUUCUACCGACUGUUUCCUUAUAAACUAGCAUGCUAUAAUCUAGCUCAUCAUGUCGGUCUAGUACGAAGCAUGAUACGAAUUAAUAUUAAAUAUCUCGUUGUCGUCCUGAAUGUGGUCUGUAUAUUUUAUUCCGCGCUGGAUGUCAAACAGACUUCAAUAAAUCAUCAUAAUUGAAAGUGUUGUUAAACACCAACAGUCAGUAAAUCUAUGAGUUUUAGAUUUGCGCUCACACUCUCAAUUUUAAGCAGUUGAUUCAACUUUGAACGGAUUUAAUAACAGUAAACUUGCUAAAAAAAACCAACACAAACGAAAUAAAAAAAACUUAAUACAUGAUGUAAAGGUAUUCACCACAGUCAAAGUACUAGCAUCGUGUUCACAGGUAUUAUAAUUUAAAAUCCAUUAUCUCACUAAAUCUUUGAGAAAAGUACUGCUAUUGUCUUCCCGUACUCUAAUUUUCAGAUAGCUUUUCUGUACACGUUAACCUUUACCACGUGAGCUCUUCUUACUAAUUCGGCUACUGAAAAGCGCAAGUGCGCCAGAAACCUGGAAUGAAAGAACAAAUUAUCAAACAUGAACAAACGUGGAAGUAAUACAGUGUUAAUAGAUUUUGAAAGAAAAAACAAUAAUGCAAUAACACUUUUUAAAACUAAUUACAACGUUGAAUUGAUAUAAACAAACAAAUGGAAGAAAUAUAUACAAAAAUCAAACAACGAUCGACAACAUCGUCUGUCAGCUCACUUAUUUUUCACAUGCUCCUUGAUUCUAUGUUGAUUUCGUUAAUGGUGCGUUCGGUUAACUUCGGCAAAAAUAAACAUCAGAGGUAAGUAUAAAUUAACAGUGAAAUGGUUUUUACUCAAUGAAAUAUUUUUAUUGAUUAUAUCAUGCAAACGUUAUAAUGCAAACAUUGUACAUAGAAAACUUUGUAAAAUAUAUACUUGCAUUGUUUCGAUUAUAACCUUAACAUUAUAGAUUCAAGAAACUACAGAUAUCAUAUCAAUUCAAUCAUCAUUUUAUUUCAGUUAAGGGAAAGCUGUAGAGUAGUUGAAAGAAAGUGGUUUCAGAAGAGAUAAGCAAACAAUUGAUGACACUUUUGUGCAAUAAAUAGAAUAAAUAAAGCCGGAGAAUAUACUUUUGCAUUCAUUUCAAUGAUCCAGUUUGUUGUUAACAUGAUAAUAAAGAACCCCUGUAAUACAAGUUAUCGUUGUAUGCUUUUCUUA
rnacentral:lncRNA from 1 species